rnacentral:rRNA from 1 species
GAUGAACGCUGGCGGCGUGCCUAAUACAUGCAAGUCGAGCGAACAGACGAGGAGCUUGCUCCUCUGACGUUAGCGGCGGACGGGUGAGUAACACGUGGAUAACCUACCUAUAAGACUGGGAUAACUUCGGGAAACCGGAGCUAAUACCGGAUAAUAUAUUGAACCGCAUGGUUCAAUAGUGAAAGACGGUUUUGCUGUCACUUAUAGCUGGAUCCGCGCCGCAUUAGCUAGUUGGUAAGGUAACGGCUUACCAAGGCGACGAUGCGUAGCCGACCUGAGAGAGUGAUCGGCCACACUGGAACUGAGACACGGUCCAGACUCCUACGGGAGGCAGCAGUAGGGAAUCUUCCGCAAUGGGCGAAAGCCUGACGGAGCAACGCCGCGUGAGUGAUGAAGGUCUUCGGAUCGUAAAACUCUGUUAUUAGGGAAGAACAAAUGUGUAAGUAACUAUGCACGUCUUGACGGUACCUAAUCAGAAAGCCACGGCUAACUACGUG